rnacentral:rRNA from 1 species
AGAGUUUGAUCAUGGCUCAGGACGAACGCUGGCGGCGUGCUUAACACAUGCAAGUCGAACGGUGACCUCGGAGCUUGCUCCGGGCGAUCAGUGGCGAACGGGUGAGUAACACGUGAGUAACCUGCCCCAGACUCUGGGAUAACCCCGGGAAACCGGAGCUAAUACCGGAUACGACACGAAGAGGCAUCUCUAUCGUGUGGAAAGUUUUUCGGUCUGGGAUGGACUCGCGGCCUAUCAGCUAGUUGGUGAGGUAACGGCUCACCAAGGCGACGACGGGUAGCCGGCCUGAGAGGGCGACCGGCCACACUGGGACUGAGACACGGCCCAGACUCCUACGGGAGGCAGCAGUGGGGAAUAUUGCACAAUGGGCGAAAGCCUGAUGCAGCGACGCCGCGUGGGGGAUGACGGCCUUCGGGUUGUAAACCCCUUUCAGCAGGGAAGAAGCGAAAGUGACGGUACCUGCAGAAGAAGCACCGGCUAACUACGUGCCAGCAGCCGCGGUAAUAC